GGCCAAUGAUGCAUUUUAUGCACGUAUUAUCAGAUAAAAAGAUGAUGAUAUUGAUUAUUGUCACUACCUCUGAGGCC